GACGAACGCUGGCGGCGUGCUUAACACAUGCAAGUCGAACGAAGUGGCGAACGGGUGAGUAACGCGUAAUAAACCUGCCCUUCAGAGGGGGACAACAGUUGGAAACGACUGCUAAUACCGCAUACGGAAGGAGGGGAUUGCGUCUGAUUAGCUAGUUGGAGGGGUAACGGCCCACCAAGGCGAUGAUCAGUAGCCGGUCUUGGAGGGAGGACGGGCAAAAUGGGACUGAGACACGGCCCAGACUCCGACGGGAGGGAGCAGUGGGGAAUCUUCCGAAAUUGACGAAAGUCUGACGGAGCAACGCCGCGUGGGUGAUGACGGCCUUCGGGUUGUAAAGCUCUGUUAAGCGGGACGCGGUACCGGAAUAGAAAGCCACGGCUAACUACGUGCCAGCAGCCGCGGUAAUAC
rnacentral:rRNA from 1 species